AUAAUGGGUCAGCGACUUAUAUUCUGUAGCAAGGUUAACCGAAUAGGGGAGCCGAAGGGAAACCGAGUCUUAACUGGGCGUUAAGUUGCAGGGUAUAGACCCGAAACCCGGUGAUCUAGCCAUGGGCAGGUUGAAGGUUGGGUAACACUAACUGGAGGACCGAACCGACUAAUGUUGAAAAAUUAGCGGAUGACUUGUGGCUGGGGGUGAAAGGCCAAUCAAACCGGGAGAUAGCUGGUUCUCCCCGAAAGCUAUUUAGGUAGCGCCUCGUGAAUUCAUCUCCGGGGGUAGAGCACUGUUUCGGCAAGGGGGUCAUCCCGACUUACCAACCCGAUGCAAACUGCGAAUACCGGAGAAUGUUAUCACGGGAGACACACGGCGGGUGCUAACGUCCGUCGUGAAGAGGGAAACAACCCAGACCGCCAGCUAAGGUCCCAAAGUCAUGGUUAAGUGGGAAACGAUGUGGGAAGGCCCAGACAGCCAGGAUGUUGGCUUAGAAGCAGCCAUCAUUUAAAGAAAGCGUAAUAGCUCACUGGUCGAGUCGGCCUGCGCGGAAGAUGUAACGGGGCUAAACCAUGCACCGAAGCUGCGGCAGCGACGCUGAUGCGUUGUUGGGUAGGGGAGCGUUCUGUAAGCCUGUGAAGGUGUGCUGUGAGGCAUGCUGGAGGUAUCAGAAGUGCGAAUGCUGACAUAAGUAACGAUAAAGCGGGUGAAAAGCCCGCUCGCCGGAAGACCAAGGGUUCCUGUCCAACGUUAAUCGGGGCAGGGUGAGUCGACCCCUAAGGCGAGGCCGAAAGGCGUAGUCGAUGGGAAACAGGUUAAUAUUCCUGUACUUGGUGUUACUGCGAAGGGGGGACGGAGAAGGCUAUGUUGGCCGGGCGACGGUUGUCCCGGUUUAAGCGUGUAGGCUGGUUUUCCAGGCAAAUCCGGAAAACUAAGGCUGAGGCGUGAUGACGAGGCACUACGGUGCUGAAGCAACAAAUGCCCUGCUUCCAGGAAAAGCCUCUAAGCAUCAGGUAACAUCAAAUCGUACCCCAAACCGACACAGGUGGUCAGGUAGAGAAUACCAAGGCGCUUGAGAGAACUCGGGUGAAGGAACUAGGCAAAAUGGUGCCGUAACUUCGGGAGAAGGCACGCUGAUAUGUAGGUGAAGUCCCUCGCGGAUGGAGCUGAAAUCAGUCGAAGAUACCAGCUGGCUGCAACUGUUUAUUAAAAACACAGCACUGUGCAAACACGAAAGUGGACGUAUACGGUGUGACGCCUGCCCGGUGCCGGAAGGUUAAUUGAUGGGGUCAGCGCAAGCGAAGCUCUUGAUCGAAGCCCCGGUAAACGGCGGCCGUAACUAUAACGGUCCUAAGGUAGCGAAAUUCCUUGUCGGGUAAGUUCCGACCUGCACGAAUGGCGUAAUGAUGGCCAGGCUGUCUCCACCCGAGACUCAGUGAAAUUGAACUCGCUGUGAAGAUGCAGUGUACCCGCGGCAAGACGGAAAGACCCCGUGAACCUUUACUAUAGCUUGACACUGAACAUUGAGCCUUGAUGUGUAGGAUAGGUGGGAGGCUUUGAAGUGUGGACGCCAGUCUGCAUGGAGCCGACCUUGAAAUACCACCCUUUAAUGUUUGAUGUUCUAACGUUGACCCGUAAUCCGGGUUGCGGACAGUGUCUGGUGGGUAGUUUGACUGGGGCGGUCUCCUCCUAAAGAGUAACGGAGGAGCACGAAGGUUGGCUAAUCCUGGUCGGACAUCAGGAGGUUAGUGCAAUGGCAUAAGCCAGCUUGACUGCGAGCGUGACGGCGCGAGCAGGUGCGAAAGCAGGUCAUAGUGAUCCGGUGGUUCUGAAUGGAAGGGCCAUCGCUCAACGGAUAAAAGGUACUCCGGGGAUAACAGGCUGAUACCGCCCAAGAGUUCAUAUCGACGGCGGUGUUUGGCACCUCGAUGUCGGCUCAUCACAUCCUGGGGCUGAAGUAGGUCCCAAGGGUAUGGCUGUUCGCCAUUUAAAGUGGUACGCGAGCUGGGUUUAGAACGUCGUGAGACAGUUCGGUCCCUAUCUGCCGUGGGCGCUGGAGAACUGAGGGGGGCUGCUCCUAGUACGAGAGGACCGGAGUGGACGCAUCACUGGUGUUCGGGUUGUCAUGCCAAUGGCACUGCCCGGUAGCUAAAUGCGGAAGAGAUAAGUGCUGAAAGCAUCUAAGCACGAAACUUGCCCCGAGAUGAGUUCUCCCUGACUCCUUGAGAGUCCUGAAGGAACGUUGAAGACGACGACGUUGAUAGGCCGGAUGUGUAAGCGCAGCGAUGCGUUGAGCUAACCGGUACUAAUGAACCGUGAGGCUUAACCUU
rnacentral:rRNA from 1 species